rnacentral:rRNA from 1 species
ACUCCUACGGGAGGCAGCAGUGGGGAAUAUUGCACAAUGGGGGAAACCCUGAUGCAGCCAUGCCGCGUGUGUGAAGAAGGCCUUCGGGUUGUAAAGCACUUUCAGUAGGGAGGAAGGUAGUGUAGUUAACACCUGCAUUAUUUGACGUUACCUACAGAAGAAGCACCGGCUAACUCCGUGCCAGCAGCCGCGGUAAUACGGAGGGUGCGAGCGUUAAUCGGAAUUACUGGGCGUAAAGCGCAUGCAGGCGGCCUGUUAAGUCAGAUGUGAAAGCCCGGGGCUUAACCUCGGAAUUGCAUUUGAAACUGGUAGGCUAGAGUCUUGUAGAGGGGGGUAGAAUUUCAGGUGUAGCGGUGAAAUGCGUAGAGAUCUGAAGGAAUACCAGUGGCGAAGGCGGCCCCCUGGACAAAGACUGACGCUCAGAUGCGAAAGCGUGGGGAGCAAACAGGAUUAGAUACCCUGGUAGGAUAGCG